CGAUUUGUACUUGCCACUAGCUGGUGUUAAAUGUCGCACAAAUAGUUUAUAUUUAUAUGGCCGUUGAACUAUCAGCUAGAAUAACAUAGAGGAAAAACAAAGUAAUUUUACCAACUCAUGUAUUUUUUUUUUGUAUAUGUUAAUACAUGUGCAUUCUUGAAUUAUGAUUAGUUGAUAUAUUAGUUUAGUAAUACAUAUCAUGUAUGAUUUCAGUACAAAUGUUUUUAUUAAUCAUAUUACGUUACUAUAUAAAAAUGUUGAUGCAACACAUGAGUAUCUGAUUCAAUAGGGUUCAACUUGGUAAGUGAUUGAUAGUGUACUAAACUCGGAUUCAUCGAUGAUGGCAUUGUAUCUUCUGUUGGUUCGUUUGUAUGUUCACUCAAUGAGAAUUGAUUGUUAGGAAUAGAGCUCAAUUGAUAAAUGUGUUCAACUGAAUUUCGAUUGUUUGAUAAUGAUUCAUAAUUGUUGUAGUUGCUUUCUUCCUGGUUGGUUCACAUUGAGUUGUGUUAAAUCCGCUUUCAUUCCUCUGAGGAAUAACGAUAUCUUUCAUUUCAUUGUAAUUUAUAUCAGCAUAACUAGGUAAAUCAUUCCUAUCUGUCAUAUGUUGAUAUUGUAGAAUCUCACAAGGAGGCAAAUCGUUACCUCGUUUUCGUUUGAGGCAAACAGCUAAGAUGACAACGAAAGCAGCCAAAAAUAAUAAGACCACAACAGGCACGAAAACCAGUGUAUAUUGAGGAAUCAGCU
rnacentral:lncRNA from 1 species